UUACUCCUCAGCCCUUUCUUCUCUUGAAGAUAUCCCAUAAGGCAGCAGAAUUUUCCUUCUCCUUCUAGAUAGGCUACCUUCCCAAGUUGACAAGCCCCAGCUGCCCAUCACUUCCUUCGACUAUUUGGGUCUGAGGUAUUACAAAUAUCUGAAAAUGCAAAUGGAUUUCCAACUUUGCAGAUGGAGGAUGCAGCUUUCUGCUCAGACAUGUGAAAUCAAUUUCCAAGAACAAGCUGAUUUUUGGAAGAAGAAGAAAUUUCUGCAAAUGUGAUGCAAAAGUUGGCUGUGCAUGAUGCCGGAAUGUCACUCUGCCCAUGUCAUCAAGAAACCUCCUAC